CCUACGGGAGGCAGCAGUAGGGAAUUUUCGUCAAUGGGCGCAAGCCUGAACGAGCGAUGCCGCGUGAGUGAAGAAGGCCUUCGGGUCGUAAAGCUCUGUUGCGGGGGAAAAAAGGCAGCAUCAGGAAAUGGGUGCUGACUGAUGGUGCCCCGCCAGAAAGUCACGGCUAACUACGUGCCAGCAGCCGCGGUAAUACGUAGGUGGCGAGCGUUAUCCGGAAUGGUUGGGCGUAAAGGGUGCGCAGGCGGUCCUGCAAGUCUGGAGUGAAACGCAUGAGCUCAACUCAUGCAUGGCUUUGGAAACUGGAGGACUGGAGAGCAGGAGAGGGCGGUGGAACUCGAUGUGUAGCGGUAAAAUGCGUAGAUAUAUGGAAGAACACCAGUGGCGAAGGCGGCCGCCUGGCCUGUUGCUGACGCUGAGGCACGAAAGCGUGGGGAGCAAAUAGGAUUAGAUACCCCGGUAGUC
rnacentral:rRNA from 1 species